GAUGAACGCUGGCGGCGUGCCUAAUACAUGCAAGUCGAGCGAACAGACGAGGAGCUUGCUCCUCUGACGUUAGCGGCGGACGGGAGAGUAACACGUGGAUAACCUACCUAUAAGACUGGGAUAACUUCGGGAAACCGGAGCUAAUACCGGAUAAUAUAUUGAACCGCAUGGUUCAAUAGUGAAAGACGGUUUUGCUGUCACUUAUAGAUGGAUCCGCGCCGCAUUAGCUAGUUGGUAGGGUAACGGCUUACCAAGGCAACGAUGCGUAGCCGACCUGAGAGGGUGAUCGGCCACACUGGAACGGAGACACGGUCCAGACUCCUACGGGAGGCAGCAGUAGGGAAUCUUCCGCAAUGGGCGAAAGCCUGACGGAGCAACGCCGCGUGAGUGAUGAAGGUCUUCGGAUCGUAAAACUCUGUUAUUAGGGAAGAACAAAUGUGUAAGUAACUAUGCACGUCUUGACGGUACCUAAUCAGAAAGCCACGGCUAACUACGUG
rnacentral:rRNA from 1 species